UACGUAGGGUGCAAGCGUUGUCCGGAAUUAUUGGGCGUAAAGAGCUCGUAGGCGGUUUGUUGCGUCGGCUGUGAAAACCCGGAGCUCAACUCCGGGCCUGCAGUCGAUACGGGCAGACUUGAGUACUGCAGGGGAGACUGGAAUUCCUGGUGUAGCGGUGAAAUGCGCAGAUAUCAGGAGGAACACCGGUGGCGAAGGCGGGUCUCUGGGCAGUUACUGACGCUGAGGAGCGAAAGCGUGGGGAGCGAACAGG
rnacentral:rRNA from 1 species